CAGAGGGUGCGAGCGUUGUUCGGAAUUACUGGGCGUAAAGCGCGCGCAGGCGGCCUUUUAAGUCUGACGGUGAAAUGCCGGGGCUCAACCCCGUGCCCGCCGCGGAUACUGGGAGGCUGGAGACGAGUAGAGGCAAGCGGAAUUCCGGGUGUAGCGGUGGAAUGCGUAGAGAUCCGGAAGAACACCGGAGGCGAAGGCGGCUUGCUGGGCUCGGUCUGACGCUGAGGCGCGAAAGCGUGGGGAGCGAACAGGAUUAGAUACCCUGGUAGUCCACGCCGUAAACGAUGGGCACUAGACGCUGGUGGGAUCGACCCCUUCGGUGUCGCAGCUAACGCGUUAAGUGCCCCGCCUGGGGAGUACGGCUGCAAGGCUG
rnacentral:rRNA from 1 species